rnacentral:rRNA from 1 species
AUUGAACGCUGGCGGCAUGCUUUACACAUGCAAGUCGAACGAGUGGCGCACGGGUGAGUAAUACAUCGGAACGUGUCCUAUCGUAGGGGAUAACUGAUCGAAAGAUCAGCUAAUACCGCAUACGAUUGGAGCGGCCGAUGCCCGAUUAGCUAGUUGGUGAGGUAAAGGCUCACCAAGGCGACGAUCGGUAGCUGGUCUGAGAGGACGACCAGCCACACUGGGACUGAGACACUGGCCAGCCUCCGACGUGAGGCAGCGGUGGGGAAUUUUGGACAAGGUCAGCAAGCCUGACCCACCCAUGCCGCGUGCAUGAGUAAGGUCUUCGGAUUGUCAGCUACUUUCUUCAGGGAAGCGGUACCUGAGGCAUAAUCACCAGCUAACUACGCGCCAGCAGCCGCGGUAAUAC